rnacentral:rRNA from 1 species
UGAGGAAUAUUGGUCAAUGGGCGAGAGCCUGAACCAGCCAAAUCGCGUGAAGGAUGAAGGUAUUAUGUAUUGUAAACUUCUUUUGUCGGGGAAUAAAGUGCGGGACGUGUCCCGUUUUGCAUGUACCCGAAGAAUAAGGAUCGGCUAACUCCGUGCCAGCAGCCGCGGUAAUACGGAGGAUCCAAGCGUUAUCCGGAUUUAUUGGGUUUAAAGGGUGCGUAGGCGGGCCUUUAAGUCAGCGGUGAAAGUUCCCGGCUCAACCGGGGAAUUGCCGUUGAAACUAUCGGCCUUGAGUGUAGAUGAGGUGGGCGGAAUUCGUGGUGUAGCGGUGAAAUGCUUAGAUAUCACGAAGAACUCCGAUUGCGUAGGCAGCUCACUAGGCUACGACUGACGCUGAGGC